AUGUCUGAGGCAUCUAAAGUCCUCCACCUGUAUGUUGAGGUGAGGACUGUUCCUGAGAAGGAUUGGGAGGUGCCAGGAAGAGCAGCUGAGGGGACCAAUCACCUCAUGCUUCCAUCUCCAGAUAUCCUCCCCAGCUCACAGAGGAGCUCCACUUGUUCCAGCCGCAGUCGCAGUCCAGAACUUUCCCCAGAUGCCCGGUAUCAUACUACGGAUGAAAAUCACACCAUAACUUCCUCAAAGUCUUCCUCCAGACACUCCGUGAGCUUCCAGCUGCAGAACCCAGAUAGAACUGGGUCUUCCAUACAGGCCCAUCAUCAGGAUGUAUUAUAUGACGGUUUUGAUCAGUUACUCCAUGUACUUUCACCUGGAAGGGAAAGUCCCAGCCAACACAACUCGCCAGGACCAGUAUGGCUUAAUGUCCCCUCUACACUCACCAGCAACUGCAGCUCUGUUAAUGUUCCAAGACAGGAUCAGGAGGAGAAAUCAUCUGUGGUGACAUUUGGCUACAUAGAGAAAGCCAACGUACACUCUGUGGAAGGCCGCCACUCUUCCAUGUGCCACGCUGAGUCAGACAGAGUGCAAGGCCAACUACAGCCUGCCCACCUCCGGAAACGGCUAAGUGAUCCAAUGUGGUUUAGUGGCCGUCCAGGACAAGGUGACCUAUACCUUAACCAUCCGUACACGUCACAGACUGGGAGCCCCCAGGCUUCUCCUCACCUGCGGAAGGCUACCCUAGAUGCAGUAGCCAGACAGGCCACCUACAAGGCAUUAGAGGAGUUUGGGUCUCCAGAACUGAGGCGACGAUAUGCGUCUCGUGGUCCAGAGAAUUAUAGUCCGUCCCUGCCACGGAGCUUCCCACCCCCUCGCUGUCAGUCUUUAAGGGCAUCUCCUGUCCUGCCACGUAGCACCCUCACCCUGCCUUCCAAGGCCCAGCUUCUGGAGCUUGACAGGGGAGCCAGAUGCAGCUCAGUGAAUGGACUGCCCAGAAGUCCUGCCUCUGAACAUCUGUGUGACCACACUGGGUACUCCUCCCCUGGUAUCUCCCAGAAGCCAUGGGUCAGAGAUGAGAGGCCCAGGUUGCCCAGCAUAUUUUACCCACCUCUUCCUGCAGGAAAACCUACAGAUAUCCAACAUGAGAUCCAUUCAGGCAGGUUCGCUUCCAGCAACCAGCCCCAGACUGACUUCCAAUGUAGAGUGAUCUCCCAGCACAAUAUUAAUCCGAGCCUCACUAGUGGUAGUCAUAAAGCUGAUGAUGGUAUACAGUGUCACGCUAACAAUAACUCCAACACAUCCAACAAUAAUCUCUGCAAAGCAUCACGUUGCAGCAGCAGAGCCAGUGACGUUGUGAGCCCCACAACUGGCAGGAGGAGCAUCUCUCCAUCCUCAAACCGUGAAAUGGCUUGUAAAUUAGCUGUGGAGGCCACCAAGCUGUGCAACAUUUAUGCAGACCGAAGGACGCCCUCUCCAACACCUUCUCAGUCUGAGUCGCAGUGGUUAGAGAGUCCAAAGGGAGGAGGAUCAUUCCAAAGGGAAUCCCAACUAUAUAACAAUUCACAUAGGCAAAUCUGUCCUGGGCCUCCGCAGGCCAACAAUCGGAAUAACAGGUGGAAAGACGACCAACCAACGCCUCAGACCCGGCCGGAGCGGGCGUCUCCUCCUCGAGCCGAGCUGGUGCAUCGAGCUGGUGCCCCUCGGUCACCACUCUUGGACCCACAACAACGGUGGAGUUCAUCAACCAGUAAGGAUGCAUCUACAGUGCAUCGAUACCAGUCACCACAGUUCACAGGAGACUGUCAAUCACAUGACACAGUGCAGAGACAGUAUGAUCGAUCGACCAAGGAUAGUCCAGAUGUUCCUUGGAGACUGCUCAGCCAAAAUACAGAAGCAAAGCCUGCGAGCUGCACCACAAGGGAAGCGGAGGAAUUCUGUGAAGACAGACACCCACCUUCUAGAGUUUACACUCCCAGCAAAGAGGAAUGUCUUGAAAGGGGCAGAAAAAACAAAGAUCUAAAGACGUCAACGCAGUUUGGCCUGUCCACGGUUCAGAGAGGGGAGGCUCUGCAUCAAAGCAGAGGUGCUGGGAUGUCUUCUCAGAGCUCCAGUGGGGUGACGGGCAGUAUGGGAGACGACUUCCCAAUGGACAGAUACAAUAGUCUGUCCCCGGAAACCUCAAGCCAGUCCAGCUACGAUACAGCAGAUUCUGGGAAACAGGUCGGCUAG
rnacentral:lncRNA from 1 species